CUUCCUCAUAUUUUGAUAGGUACAGUCGUGGCCUCCAUAGAGGAGGAGAACGGUGGGUUCUUAAGCUCUUUCUCCCUCUCGAUUUCUCAUCGCAUCGUCAUCCUAAUUGCGUAAACUCUAAUAAAUCAAUAGUGGACUGUCGAUUUUCCGGCAACUGCGAUGAUCGUGAAUGAAAAUGGAAUGGCAUAUAAGUGGAAGGGAGGAAAGGAGCAUCAGGUUAUUAAUUGCAAGGAUUUAAUGUCAAGUUUUUACUUCUCCUAUUUAACUUCCGGCAACUCUUAUGUUUUAUCGAGAUUACUACUAUGAUGCAAAUUUUAAAGUGUAUGAUGCAAAUCGUGUUUGAAGUUUUGUGACAAUCCAGGUGAAAAUCUAGCGGAUUAGAUUAGGAGGAUGUUAUACACUUAGAAGUGGAAGGAAACUCUAUUUGAUAGUGUGAUUAUAUUUUAAUUAUAAUUAUUUAUCUACCAAAACUCAAAA